rfam:Scleropages formosus scaffold1023, whole genome shotgun sequence.
AAAUAUUUUCUACAUUAGGAGUCAUUUUAAGGCAAUAGACCUCUGCUGCACAUAUGCACCCAUUCUUUCCCCAAGCACAGUGUAAAUUGUGGUCAUCCUGGAACCAAUUAGGAAGGAUAUGUCUCAAUUUGUUCAGAGUUUAGGCCACAGUGUGGCCAGGAGCUCUGCCCAGGCAGGGCGCAAAUACGCAGCGCUCCUGAAAUUGAUGAACUGGGACCUGCUGCCGCUCCGUCAACUGCGCCAUCUGGAAUUGUAGUCUGGGCUUCUGCUGAAAGCUUACUGACCUGGGAUUCAACUUUUUAAACUCG